rnacentral:tRNA from 1 species
GGUUUUAUGGUGUAGUGGCAGCACGAAACACUCUGAAUGUUUAGGUUUAGGUUCGAUUCCUAAUAGAACCA